CGCCGGCCGCGCCGGCCGCGCCGGCGGCUGCCCUGACGGCGGGCGGCGGGGGCGCCGGUUCCAGGUCCGGCUCCGGCGACC
rnacentral:tRNA from 1 species